AACAAAGCCAGCCAGUUCUCAACCAAUCAUUAUGGAAGAAUGUCUCAAGGCAGAUGAUUUUGUUUUGACAAAUCUGGAAAAGUACAGCGAUGAGUGGCCACAAAUUGGAAAAGUAAUUUCAAUUUGUGGUCACAAUAUACAUAUACUAUGGUAUAAGGGCAGUAAAUCUACAAGUACAGUUCCUAUUUUAGGACAGAGAGGAAAAAGGGAGCCUUUCACUGAAACAGUAACAAGAGACCAAAUUUGGAAAAGUGGUUUCAAAUUGACCAACAACGGACACCUACCGAAAUCUGUCAAGAAUUCCAUUGACAGAUAUUGAAUAAAAUAUUUAUUUUAACAGAUAGAAUGCACUUUAUUAUUUUAAAAAGUUUAUGAAUAGCAGCUAAUUAUAUAAAAGAGCCUAGAAGUAAUUUAAGUUACC
rnacentral:lncRNA from 1 species